rnacentral:lncRNA from 1 species
AGGUACUUCGAGAGUCUGUUUCUCUGCCCCAGAAGCAUGCGCAGCCCCCGCUGGCAGGCGUAGUCCUUCUUGUUCACGAGCAAGUGUUCCGUGAGGCUCUCGAUGCGCUUCGUCAGGAGCGCGAUCUGCAGCGACGAAGACCCGGUGUCGUUCGGGCCCUCCUUGAACUGCUCCAUGUCGGCGAGGUUCGGGCGCGACAUCUUGUUCGCCGCGACGACUUGGAGGCUCGCAGCCCUGUUCGCGACCGGGCGCGCGGCGACGUUGAGGGACACCGGG